AUGGGCACCUGGACCCUCUGCUGUAUAUUGCUUUGCCUCCUGGAGGCAGAGUCCACAGAGGUUGGUGUCAUGCAAACACCCAGGCAUGAGGUGACAGAGGUGGGACAAGCAGUAACUCUGAACUGUAAGCCAAUUUCAAACCAUAACAGCCUUUUCUGGUACAGACAAACUUCAAAACUGGGACUGGAGCUGCUUACUUACUUCCGUAACCAGGAGCAAAUUGACAGUUCAGGAAUGCCCAAGAACAGGUUCUCUGCAGAGAUGCCCAACAAAUUACUCUCCAUCCUGAAGAUCCAGCCCACAGAACCUGGUGACUCAGCAAUCUACUUCUGUGCCAGCAGCAUAGACACAGCACUACAGAAUCACCUGGCGUUGUACAGAAACCCUCCAGUACCAGAGUCCUCAGACUUCUGCUCCCUUCUCAACUCUCCACUGUGA